UGGGGAAUUUUGGACAAUGGGCGAAAGCCUGAUCCAGCAAUGCCGCAUGUGUGAAGAAGGCCUUCGGGUUGUAAAGCACUUUUGUCCGGAAAGAAAUCCUUGGCUCUAAUACAGUCGGGGGAUGACGGUACCGGAAGAAUAAGCACCGGCUAACUACGUGCCAGCAGCCGCGGUAAUACGUAGGGUGCAAGCGUUAAUCGGAAUUACUGGGCGUAAAGCGUGCGCAGGCGGUUUGCUAAGACCGAUGUGAAAUCCCCGGGCUCAACCUGGGAACUGCAUUGGUGACUGGCAGGCUAGAGUAUGGCAGAGGGGGGUAGAAUUCCACGUGUAGCAGUGAAAUGCGUAGAGAUGUGGAGGAAUACCGAUGGCGAAGGCAGCCCCCUGGGCAAUACUGACGCUCGUGCACGAAAGCGUGGGGAGCAAACAGGAUUAGAUACCCUGGUAGUCCACGCCCUAAACGAUGUCAACUAGUUGUUGGGGAUUCAUUUCCUUAGUAACGUAGCUAACGCGUGAAGUUGACCGCCUGGGGAGUACGGUCGCAAGAUUAAAACUCAAAUGAAUUGACGGGGUCAUAGCUGUUUCCU
rnacentral:rRNA from 1 species